CUCAGAAAACUUGCGAAGUUUAGGAUGGAGCUGAAGAGACUGGGUUCCGUCCUAAGCCUUUGGACAGGGCCAUCAGCUUUUUCCCUGCCUUCGGACUUGAAUUAAACAUCAUCUCUUCCUUGGCGUCAAGCCUGCUGCCAUCAGACUGGAACUAAACCAUCAGCUCUCAUGGGACUCCAUCUUGCUGACUUACCCUGCAGAUCUUGGGAUUUAACCGCCUCCAUAAUCACGAAUCCUCCCUCCAGGUCACUGGGAGCUUCAAUUCCUUAGAAGAAAGAAAGAGAUGACUCCUGCUUCAUAGUCCAGGAAAAUUCCCACACACCGUGGAGGCUCUUUAAGGCGGAAGGAGGUCUGCGGGGAUGUGAGAGCUUCAUACUCAUUCCCACGACUCUGUCGCAGAAGCCAGUGUCCAUUGGCAGCAGCAACUAUCACCAUACUAUGAAGUAGCACAAGCCCUUCAUCAGAUACAGUCGCCCAGUCUUGGACCAUCCAGCCCCAAGAACCAUGAGCUAAAUAAACCUCUUUCCUUGAUAAAUUACCCAGUCUCAGGUAUUCUGUUAUAGCA